AUGCAAUGUUUGAUUGUCACAGGAAGAUAUAUCAUCUUAAGCAAUUUCAGCCUAAUGUACUGGAAAAUUGCUUAACAGGUUUUUAUAUUCUAUUAGAAACAUUUCCAUAUUGGUAAUAUGUUUCUUUUUUUGAGCAGCAAAUCUUGAGUAACAGCGGAGAAAACCUCACCACAGCCACCACUCAUCUUGUGGACUUGACUUGUAUAUUCAUCUAGAAAAACAAGAAAUUGCUAAAUGCACGCUGGUACCUCUUAGGAUACCCUCCUAGAUAUAGAAUUACUGAGUGAGAACAUUUGCAAAGCCCUUGAUAAAUCUUGUUGAAUCCCAGCACCAGACCUAUUACAUGGUAAGUACUCAGUAAGUACUUCUUGAAUGAACAAGUGCCUUUAGAAAGGUUGGAACAUUGCAGAGUCCCACCAGCAGGAUGCCAGAAGAGCUGUGGCAUGGCCAGUGCACAUGAUUGGAGAAUUGAUUAAAGCAGAAUUUGGGUAUGUGUGAUUCUGGCAAUGAAAUAAUCCAUUUGCAUGAAAAAAUAAGAGUUACAAGUUGAAUCCUC